AUGGACAUGUUUGCACUUCUGGUNNNNNNNNNNAUCCUGAUCCCUGCCUUGGUUGACCUUAUAAGGCUGAGAGCUUCAGAAAGUGCUGCAGAGAAUAUGCUCCCCAUCAGCAAAGACACCAAUGAAGAUUCAACCCAGGGCUCUGUCAGCUGUACCUCCCUACUCUCCAAAGUCAAUGUCAUCUGUCUCACUCAGAGUCCUGACAGUAGGUUCUCCCCAAUCUCCAUUGAUGAACCAGUCACUGCUGUCCAGACUUAUUGUAGCAGCAGUUCUCUGUCCAGUGAGGAACGAGCACACUCUUUCUCCAGUCAGAUCUCUACUAAGAACCUCCUGGCUGCUAGGCCACGUUCUGCCAAUCCACCAUCUGCUAAACUACCAUCUGAUAAACCACAAUCUGCUAAACCACCACCUGCUAAACCACAAUCUGCUAAACCAACGCCUGCUAAACCAACACCUGCUAAACCACCACCUGCUAAACCACAUUCUGCUAAACCACCUACUGCCACUGACUACUCUGGAACCUUAUCUGCUGUGGACGGUCGUGGGCAUGUCAUCCCUGUCAAACUGACCUUGGCCCCUUUCUCCUCCUUAAUCUCCAGCGACGAGACCAACACCAACCUCUCCUCCAGCAGCCUCCCCUCCUCGUGCUCCAUCAAGCUUUCAGACAGUAGGAGUGACAUUCCUUGCUCCCUGACUGUAAGCUCCAUUUCAAAUGUUCCUGGACCUGACUCCGGCAGCAGCCCUCUGCGGGAGAAUCAAUUUGCUACUGAGGUCUCGUCGAUCUGCCUCAGCCAAGAUAGAAAUGGCCAAGGAGGGAGUGUGACACCUCCAGCCCCUUUGGAUGUUUCCCUCCCCUCCAUUAUUGAACGGGCUGGCGGACCUGUAUGUUCCGUCAUCUCCCAGUCUUUAGCAAUUGUGGAGGGGCGGUCAAGUGUGAAUGGUGAGGAGGGCUCUCCAUCUCCCACCACAGUCUCCCAUUCUCCUACAAGGGUGUUUGUCAGCCACUUAAGGAGUAGCCCACUAGGUGAGGACCUUGUAGAUUCAACACUUGCGGAUGUUAUCUCUGUCCUGAAAAUGGAGGGAAUUAUUUCCUUCUCUCCGACUUUGGAGGAGGAGCUGCUUGAUCUCUCCUCCAGUUGUUCUUCGUCAUCAAGCGAAACACUGCAAUGUGUGUCUGUUGGCCCUCUUGGCAGUGGGUCGGAGACGUCCUUCAAACUUCUUGGGGGUCGUACUCUGAGUAUCGCCACCCCAACGGCCCAUGUUACCACAGAGGACUUAGAAGUCUACAGUGAUGAGAUCAUUGACGAAAUCCUUAUUAUAAUGAGGACCAAAAAAGAUGAUGACAGUGGAAGUGACGUCUCUGGUGCAUCAACACCAUGCAACACACCAGCACCACAGAGCCGGUUCUCUUCUGCACUGAGGGGAGUGCUUCCCCAUGACAGGAGGAUACUCAGCACAACACUGCUUGGAAUCCAGAACACACUAGACAGUGAGAACGUCUCAGGAGAGUGUUCCACCUCACCACAGGACAAUGCCAGAGUCCUGGAGAUGAUAAAGAUGCUGCAGAGGCGCCUUGAGGAGACACCCUCAGAGUCCUCCAUCCAUAUCACAGAUGUGGCUUCACCCUUGGGCUUUCCUCUCCCUGUAUCUCUCUAUGCUGUUCAGUCGUGUGUAUUUGCCACUGACAAAGACCUGAAGGCAGAAAGAGUGAAGGGAGUCUUUGAAAGCCUGAGAUCCCAGUUUAUGAGCUACUCCAUCAAGCCUGUGAGUAACAUCAUUACCAGGGCAACAACAAAGAUGGCUGCCUCCAAUCAGCUUAGUUCAGAGACCCUCCAGGCAGCAUCAGCAAAAUCAUCUGCUGUGGCUCAGAACCUUAUUAGUUCGGUUUUAUUUAAAGUUGCCACGGUGUCCUGCUCUGAUGACUUAGAGGGUCUGGGUGAUCAUCUCAGAUGCCCCUCAACUUUGACCAGAGUUCUGACACCUUUGACCUCAGAGAAAGCUACACUGACACCUGCUGUUCUGAAGAUCAAAAGGGAGAUGUCUAAGGAAGUGGCCACCGAACUCCAGAGUUUCUUGAUCAAGGAAUCCCUUACUGGCACCCAGACACCAUCCAAUGGACAUGUUUGCACUUCUGGUUCUGCCCCAAGGGAAGCUGUGCGGGACAUCCUGAGGAAAACCAAAGAGGAGGCUUCCAACAAAAGCCUGAAUAAUAUUUUCUCUGUUAAUUUGGAUGAGCGGCUCACAGACUCUAUUGCAGAUGCCUUAUAUCCAAAGCUUUAUGACCGAUUGGAGUCCAAAANNNNNNNNNNGUUAAGAGCCGAUGUGGCUCGGCUGAGGUGA
rnacentral:lncRNA from 13 species